GAUGAAGAACGUAGCGAAAUGCGAUAGGUAGUGUGAAUUGCAGAUGUAACGUUAAUCAUCGAAUCUUUGAACGCAAAUUGCACUCUCUGGUAUUCCGGGGAGUAUGCCUGUUUGAGGGUCGCCAAAUCAACAUCGAAAUUCAUUUGCUUUUGUAAAUGUUUAUCGGAUUUGAGCCGUCUUUUAUUUUUUUAAUUAAAGUGGCUUAAAAUGUAUUUUUUUGGUAUCGAAAAACGUUAUUUUACGAUCAAAUUGAUUAAAAAAACAAACGUUUCGGAUGCCGUCUUUAAUGUAAUACGUUUGACUGUGUGGUGUUAAUCAUAGUUUCAUUCGUAUACGAUUUUUUAAUUUUUGACCUCAAAUCAGGUAAGAACACCCGCUGAACUUAAGCAUAUCAAUAAGCGGAGGA
rnacentral:misc_RNA from 1 species